rnacentral:rRNA from 1 species
GAUGAACGCUAGCUACAGGCUUAACACAUGCAAGUCGAGGGGAAACGGCAUUGAGUGCUUGCACUCUUUGGACGUCGACCGGCGCACGGGUGAGUAACGCGUAUCCAACCUUCCCAUUACUGUGGGAUAACCUGCCGAAAGGCAGACUAAUACCGCAUAGUCUUCGAUGACGGCAUCAGAUUUGAAGUAAAGAUUUAUCGGUAAUGGAUGGGGAUGCGUCUGAUUAGCUUGUUGGCGGGGUAACGGCCCACCAAGGCUACGAUCAGUAGGGGUUCUGAGAGGAAGGUCCCCCACAUUGGAACUGAGACACGGUCCAAACUCCUACGGGAGGCAGCAGUGAGGAAUAUUGGUCAAUGGACGGAAGUCUGAACCAGUCAAGUAGCGUGCAGGAUGACGGCCCUAUGGGUUGUAAACUGCUUUUGUAUGGGGAUAAAGUUAGGGACGUGUCCCUAUUUGCAGGUAC